rnacentral:misc_RNA from 1 species
GAUGAAGAACGCAGCGAAAUGCGAUAAGUAGUGUGAAUUGCAGAAUUCAGUGAAUCAUCGAAUCUUUGAACGCACAUUGCGCCCCUUGGUAUUCCAUGGGGCAUGCCUGUUCGAGCGUCAUUUGUACCUUCAAGCUUUGCUUGGUGUUGGGUGUUUGUCUCGCCUUUGCGUGUAGACUCGCCUUAAAAUAAUUGGCAGCCGGCGUAUUGAUUUCGGAGCGCAGUACAUCUCGCGCUUUGCACUCAUAACGACAGCGUCCAAAAGUACAUUUUACACUCUUGACCUCGGAUCAGGUAGGGAUAACCGCUGAACUUAAGCAUAUCAAUAAGCGGAGGA